rnacentral:rRNA from 1 species
UACAGAGGUCUCAAGCGUUAAUCGGAAUUACUGGGCGUAAAGCGUGCGCAGGCGGUCUUGUAAGACAGAGGUGAAAUCCCCGGGCUCAACCUGGGAACUGCCUUUGUGACUGCAUAGCUAGAGUACGGUAGAGGGGGAUGGAAUUCCGCGUGUAGCAGUGAAAUGCGUAGAUAUGCGGAGGAACACCGAUGGCGAAGGCAAUCCCCUGGACCUGUACUGACGCUCAUGCACGAAAGCGUGGGGAGCAAACAGG